rnacentral:rRNA from 1 species
AUACGGAGGACGCGAGCGUUAUCCGGAUUCAUUGGGUUUAAAGGGUGCGCAGGCGGCCGUGCAAGUCAGCGGUGAAAGCCCGGGGCUCAACCCCGGAAGUGCCGUUGAUACUGCGUGGCUGGAAUGCGGUCGAGGCGGGCGGAACGUGGCGUGUAGCGGUGAAAUGCGUAGAUAUGCCACAGAACGCCGAUAGCGGAGGCAGCUCGCCAGGCCUGCAUUGACGCUCGGGCACGAAAGCGUGGGGAUCGAACAGGAUUAGAUACCCUGGUAGUCCACGCCGUAAACGAUGGGCGCUCGUCGUCGGCGACAGACAGUCGGCGGCCAAGCGAAAGCGAUAAGCGCCCCACCUGGGGAGUGCGGUCGCAAGGCUGAAACUCAAAUGAAUUGACGGGG